GCACCCGGGCAGGCCCAUCUCAGAAUUAACGCUUUGAUGGCAUCACCGCGUCGGGAAUCCCUGGGGAUGGUGUUCUCCACCGUCAAGACCUUUGAGCCGCCUGAGCGACUAACUCCUGCGCCCCUGAGGUAGAGACAGGGUUUCACUAUGUUGCCCAGGCUGGCCUCGAACUCCUGACCUCGUGAUCUGCCCGCCUCGGCCUCCCAAAGUGCUGGGGUUACCGGCAUGAGCCACCGCGCCCAGCCUGGGCUGAAUCUAAAAGGAUGACCAGGAAUUGGCCUGAGACGAGCCACUUCUCUGCAGUAUGGAGGUUGGGUUACGGUUGCUGCAUGUAGAAGAUAUUCCAGAC
rnacentral:lncRNA from 1 species